rnacentral:rRNA from 1 species
GAGUUUGAUCCUGGCUCAGGAUGAACGCUGGCGGCGUGCCUAACACAUGCAAGUCGAGCGAGAAGGUUUUGAAUGAUUCUUCGGAUGAAUGAUGAACUGGAGAGCGGCGGACGGGUGAGUAACGCGUGGGUAACCUGCCCUAUGGAGGGGGAUAACUAAGAGAAAUUUUAGCUAAUACCGCAUAAGCACACAGGACCACAUGGUCUAGUGUGAAAAACUCCGGUGCCAUAGGAUGGACCCGCGUAAGAUUAGCUAGUUGGUAAGGUAAUGGCUUACCAAGGCGACGAUCUUUAGCCGACCUGAGAGGGUGAUCGGCCACAUUGGGACUGAGACACGGCCCAAACUCCUACGGGAGGCAGCAGUGGGGGAUAUUGCACAAUGGGCGAAAGCCUGAUGCAGCAACGCCGCGUGAAGGAAGACGGUUUUCGGAUUGUAAACUUCUAUCAGCUGGGAAGAAAAUGACUGUACCAGACUAAGAAGCCCCGGCUAACUACGUGCCAGCAGCCGCGGUAAUACGUAGGGGGCAAGCGUUAUCCGGAUUUACUGGGUGUAAAGGGUACGUAGGCGGCUUACUAAGUCAGAUGUGAAAGCCCGAGGCUCAACCUCGGGACUGCAUUUGAAACUGGUGAGCUAGAGUACAGGAGAGGUAAGUGGAAUUCCUAGUGUAGCGGUGAAAUGCGUAGAUAUUAGGAAGAACACCAGUGGCGAAGGCGGCUUACUGGACUGUAACUGACGCUGAGGUACGAAAGCGUGGGGAGCGAACAGGAUUAGAUACCCUG